rnacentral:rRNA from 1 species
UACGUAGGGUGCAAGCGUUGUCCGGAAUUAUUGGGCGUAAAGAGCUCGUAGGCGGUUUUGUUGCGUCGGCUGUGAAAUCCCGAGGCUCAACCUCGGGUCUGCAGUCGAUACGAGCAAACUAGAGUGUUGCAGGGGGAGACUGGAAUUCCUGGUGUAGCGGUGAAAUGCGCAGAUAUCAGGAGGAACGCCGGUGGCGAAGGCGGGUCUCUGGGCAACAACUGACGCUGAGGAGCGAAAGCGUGGGGAGCGAACAGG